rnacentral:rRNA from 1 species
GACGAACGCUGGCGGCGUGCCUAAUACAUGCAAGUCGAGCGGAGCAGGAAGCGAGCGUAAGCAAGCAGAGAGCUUAGCGGCGAACGGGUGAGUAACACGUAGGUAACCUAGCGAUAAGACAGGGAUAACUUUCGGAAACGGGAGCUAAUACCAGAUAGUCUUUUCCUUCGCAUGAGGGAAAAGGGACAGGCGGAGCAAUCUGCCGCUUAUGGAUGGACCUGCGGCGCAUUAGCUAGUUGGAGAGGUAACGGCUGACCAAGGCGACGAUGCGUAUCCGACCUGAGAGGGUGAGCGGACACACUGGGACGGAGACACGGCCCAGACUCCUACGGGAGGCAGCAGUAGGGAAUCUUCCGCAAUGGACGAAAGUCUGACGGAGCAACGCCGCGUGAGUGAAGAAGGUUUUCGGAUCGUAAAGCUCUGUUGCUAGGGAAGAAAACUAUGGAGAGUAACUGCUCGAUAGAAGACGGUACCUAAGAAGAAAGCCCCGGCUAACUACGUGCCAGCCGCCGCCGUAA